CUACAAUUUGUCACAAAUGAGUAAUCAGAAUUGCCACAAAAAAGCAGCAUUUCACACGAUCAUUGAACUGUUUGAUGAAUUGCCUAAUUAAGUGAGAUUAUUUUUUAGUUGGUGUCAAGCUUAACUACUCCCAACAAUGGAUCAACAAAGAGUUUGGCACUGAUGGUAAUUACUUCAGAUGCUGAGUUUUUAGUUUUUGAGAUAGAUUCCUUGCUCAGAAAAUUAGUGAUUCCAACAGAAGGAGACAAAUGGAUCAUUAGCUAGUGAACAAUGAGUGAGUCUCUAAUUGAAGUGGAGAUAGAAGAGCAUCUGCAACAUUGUAAUACAAUGGUGGAAGAGCUGCUCCAAUUCCAUUGCCCCUUGGGAACCUGAAGCAACUGGGUCUGUCAUCUAUGGCCGCUGCAGUGGCAACCAUGUGCACUAGCUCAGCUUCAUCAGAUGGAGCCAUGACCACCAUGUUGGGCAAGCAAGCCAUGUAUGUGAUAUCAAACGCUCCACAGUGGGUGGGUCCAUCUGCACCAACCAAACCAGCUCGAUCUAAAGCAAAGCGGACAGGAAUGAUGAGUAGAUAGCACAGAAUGGUUUGAGUCCUUCUGUGGCUAAACCAGCUGCAAAUGUAACAGCAUGCUGCUCAGCAAU